CAGCCGCCGCGGUAAUACAGAGGGUGCGAGCGUUAAUCGGAUUUGCUGGGCGUAAAGCGUGCGUAGGCGGCUUCUUAAGUCGGAUGUGAAAUCCCUGAGCUUAACUUAGGAAUUGCAUUCGAUACUGGGAAGCUAGAGUAUGGGAGAGGAUGGUAGAAUUCCAGGUGUAGCGGUGAAAUGCGUAGAGAUCUGGAGGAAUACCGAUGGCGAAGGCAGCCAUCUGGCCUAAUACUGACGCUGAGGUACGAAAGCAUGGGGAGCAAACAGGAUUAGAUACCCGUGUAGUCCCUGUCUCUUAUAC
rnacentral:rRNA from 1 species